rnacentral:rRNA from 1 species
GACGAACGCUGGCGGCGUGCCUAAUACAUGCAAGUCGAACGAGAGCAACCGGUGCUUGCACUGGUCAAUCUAGUGGCGAACGGGUGAGUAACAAGUGGGUAACCUGCCCAUCAGAGGGGGAUACAAUCCGGAAACGGAUGCUAAAACCGCAUAGGUCUUCGAACCGCAUGGUUUGAAGAGGAAAAGAGGCGCAAGCUUCUGCUGACGGAUGGACCCGCGGUGCAUUAGCUAGUUGGUGAGGUAACGGCUCACCAAGGCCGUGAUGCAUAGCCGACCUGUUGGGGUGAUCGGCGACAUUGGGACUGAGACACGGCCCUAACUCCUACGGGAGGCAGCAGUAGGGAAUCUUCCGCAAUGGACGCAAGUCUGACGGAGCAGCGCCGCGUGAGUGAAGAAGGUUUUCGGAUCGUAAAACUCUGUUGUUAGUGAAGAACGAGUGCUAGAGUAACUGUUAGCGCCUUGACGGUAUCUAACCAGAAAGCCACGGCUAACUACGUG